CUAGAUACGUAUUCGAAAAGAUGAUCGGGGCUCGUCUCCUUGCUCAAAACGGAGCUCAAAAGCUCAAGCUCCUCAACAAAGAAAAUAUGCUGAAAUGGAAAUUUUAUUGAAAAAAAAAAGUUUGUAAAAAACCUUGAGAGCACAGGCGCAAACAAGGAGAGGGCCUGAAAAAGAAAGCCCAAAAAACCAAAAAAAACAACAAAACCCAAGCCAAAAAAGAAAGCAAACAACGCGAAGCCAAAACAACAAAGGAAGAGCAAGCCACCCCACUGGC
rnacentral:lncRNA from 1 species